rnacentral:rRNA from 1 species
UACGGGGGGGGCAAGCGUUGUUCGGAAUUACUGGGCGUAAAGGGCUCGUAGGUGGCCAACUAAGUCAUACGUGAAAUCCCUCGGCUUAACCGGGGAACUGCGUCUGAUACUGGAUGGCUUGAGAUUGGGAGAGGGAUGCGGAAUUCCAGGUGUAGCGGUGAAAUGCGUAGAUAUCGGAAGGAACACCUGUGGCGAAAGCGGCUCACUGGACCAUAACUGACGCUGAGGCGCGAAAGCUAGGGGAGCAAACAGG